AGUGAACGCUGGCGGCAGGCCUAACACAUGCAAGUCGAGCGGCAGCGGGUUCCCGCGAGGGGAUGCCGGCGAGCGGCGGACGGGUGAGGAACACAUCGGAAUCUGCCUGGUUGUGGGGGAUAACGUAGGGAAACUUACGCUAAUACCGCAUGAGACCCUGAGUCGACGGACUGGGGGUGAAAGUGAGGGACCUUCGGGCCUCACGCGACCAGAUGAGCCGAUGUCGGAUUAGCUAGUUGGCGGGGUAACGGCCCGCCAAGGCGACGAUCCGUAGCUGGUCUGAGAGGAUGAUCAGCCACACUGGGACUGAGACACGGCCCAGACUCCUACGGGAGGCAGCAGU
rnacentral:rRNA from 1 species